AUUGAACGCUGACGGCAGGCCUAACACAUGCAAGUCGAACGAGUGGCAGAAGGGUGAGUAAUGUCUGGGAAACUGCCUGAGGGAUGGGGAUAAAUACUGGAAACGGUAGAUAAUACCGCAUACCCUCAGAUGUGCCCAGAGGGGAUUAGCUUGUUGGUGGGGUAACUGAUAACCAAGGCGACGAUCCCUAGCUGGUCUGAGAGGAUGAACAGCCAAACUGGAACUGAGACACGGUCCAGACGCGUACGUGAGGCAGCAGUGGGGAAGAUUUGACAAUGGGCGCAAUCCUGAGGCAGCCAGGCCGCGUGUAUGAAGAAGGCCUUCGGGUUGUAAAGUACUUUCGGCGGGGAGGCGUUACCCGCAGAAGAAGCCCCGGCUAACGCCGUGCCAGCAGCCGCGGUAAUUC
rnacentral:rRNA from 1 species